GAGGAAGAGAAUGAUAACAGUCUGGAGCCAUGUCUUCAGCACCGUGAUUGACAGACUCAAUAGACACAUCUGGAAAAAAAAAAGAUCAUAGGUCAGCAAGAAUCAUGAGUCAUAUCUUCUAUGUUUGAGUUGAUGUAUUAUUCCACAACAAUGGAUUUUGAGCCUGUAAGUACAGCUAGAGCUCAUCUGUGUAACUUGCCAAGCAUCCUACAAAAUGAAAUAGCAGUGACAAACCAAGGAAUCUGAGAACAUUCUUAUUCAGAGGCAGAAAUCAAACUAAAAUUGAACUUGAAGAGAGAUAAAGCAUCUGAAAAGCAAUUAAGUCAAGAACCAUGGCACCUGUUCAUCUCACCUCCCUCGUGGGAAUUAACAUGCCGUAUGGGAAAGAGAUUUGCGUCUGUUAAAGGCAAAAAGCAAUGAGGUUCUUCAGGGAGCAGGAAACUUGAUGAAUUUACAAGAUUUUUGAGGAGAACUGCUUUUACCCUGGGGAUGGUAGGCUGAGUAUACAGAAUGCUGUUCUCCACACUUCCAUAAGCAAAGGAUCCCUAGCACAAGAAAGACAUGGAGCUGUUGGAGCAAAUCCUGAGGCGGGCCACAAAGACAAUCAGAAGGCUGGAGCACCGCCCCUGUGAAGAGAGGCUGAGGGAGCUAAGCUUGUACCCCUUUGUAUUUCUUGCAGUUUCCAUUGCUUGUGGUAUUACUUUUGCCGCAAACCUCAUAGAAUGCAAUUUCCAAAUAUGAUGAGUAUGAUUAUUUCCUGUAUCAGAUCAUAGAUGCAGGAAUCAGGGCCAAAAUCUCUCUCCUUCAGCUUACCUGUUGUUAGGGCUGGCAAUUAUGUGUUUGCUAAAAAUUUUGUGGUGGAAGGUAAAGAAAAGUGCCAUGCUCCUCUCAGUGACACUAUGCAUGAUGUCAACAUGAUGGAAGUAUGUGACUUGCUUAUUCAUAUUGUACCUUGGCUUUCUGCUAAUUAGACACUUUUCUAAAUUCAUGGUCAUUGACCUCUCACAACCAUACUGAAAUUUCAGUGAAAUAGCCAGCAGCUAUUUAUUUUUCAAUCACACAAAUCUCUAAACAUACAAAAGAUGAGGAUCAGAAACAACUUGGAACAGAAGCUGAAGUAAAAUAGCAAGAAACCCAGACUUAAAUAUCUGAAGAAAUGGAUCUGUGCUUUUGUAACUAGAAGGAAAUGUUCUAGUUCAGAAUUUUCCCUGAACCGCUAACGCUUAGAAUAACAUUCUUAUGCUUUUUUUUUUUUGUCUUUACUAUAUGAUACACUUGUGAGAAGUCUAUGCUGUCUUUGCCAUGCUUUUUCUUUCUCUGAAUAGAGAAAGGGCUAUAGCAUAUAGAAAAGGUGUAUGCUGCAGCUACCAAGACUUGUUUUAUUUGUUUAAAUCAUCUCUACUUGUUUGUUUCCUUGAAGCUUUUCACUGGGAGAAAGUUGCGCAGUUGACAUGUUCCUACAUAUGCCAAUUAGAAUCUUCAAGCCCACACUUCUUUCUUUUCCUCUCUUUUUUUUUUUUUUUUUUUUUUUUUAUUUGAACAGAUUUUUCUGCCUGGAAGCUUCCUCAUGGGCCUGGGAGGCAGAUUACACUUUUCUCCAUGGGAUGCAUCCAGCUGGCUGCAGGAGAUCUGGAUCUUAUCGUUAUUUCUGCUACUAACCUACUUUGGGCAAGCUGCUUCCUUUCUCUGUGCCUUUGUGCCCUUGGUCACCAACUGAGAUUAGAAAUGGUUCAAGGAAAAGCAUGUCUGUAAAAAUUACAAUGAGUUUGUGCAAUACUUUUAGCACAGUGGGGUUCCUCAGUCAGUGAUGGCCUUAAACUAUUGCUAAAGGACAAACAUGAGUAAGAUCCCUACAGCUGCUUUUGAUCCACAUCUCUCAGUGCCUCUUCCAUCUCAUUCCUUAUCAUCCUUUAAUCCCUUUAUCUUCUCAUUUUUGUUGUUUCCUUUUGUCCAUACCAGCUUAUGGAGGUUUUAAUAUGCUUUCCUUCCCAACAGCUCUGAAUCCCUGAGCCGACGUUGACAUAUUCUCACACUGAAAAGCUUCCCUUAAAAACUGCAGUGUCACUGGAAUGGGAGCCCAGAUAAGUACCUGCCUAUACCAAAGAGAGUGAAGCCAGGUCACAGCCAGAAAGUACAUGAGGCCACAAAGAAGCAAAGAUUUUAGCUACAUGUUCAGUCGGGAGCAGCAGCGAGACAAUCUGAAAGCGAGCACGACAAGACGAGAAGAAAAAGAAGACAACCCAGGUCAGGUUUCUCUGCAGUUAGAUCUCCAUGAAUUAUCUUAAGAAGAAACGUGGGCUGCUGAACUCAGCCUGUGGAUUGUCAAACAGCUG
ensembl:lncRNA